GCUCUGGUCGGAAACCAGAGUCGUUAGAAGGAG
rnacentral:ncRNA from 1 species